GGAUAACCUGCCCUUGGGACCGGCAUAACCCCGGGAAACUGGGGAUAAUUCCGGAUAACGCACAUAUGCUGGAAUGCUUUAUGCGUGAAAUGGAUUCGUCUGCCCAAGGAUGGGUCUGCGGCCUAUCAGGUAGUAGUGGGUGUAAUGUACCUACUAGCCUACAACGGGUACGGGUUGUGAGAGCAAGAGCCCGGAGAUGGAUUCUGAGACAUGAAUCCAGGCCCUACGGGGCGCAGCAGGCGCGAAAACUUUACAAUGCGGGAAACCGUGAUAAGGGGACACCGAGUGCCAGCAUCAUAUGCUGGCUGUCCAGGUGUGUAAAAUACACCUGUUAGCAAGGGCCGGGCAAGACCGGUGCCAGCCGCCGCGGUAACACCGGCGGCCCGAGUGGUGAUCGUGAUUAUUGGGUCUAAAGGGUCCGUAGCCGGUUUGGUCAGUCCUCCGGGAAAUCUGACAGCUCAACUGUUAGGCUUUCGGGGGAUACUGCCAGACUUGGAACCGGGAGAGGUAAGAGGUACUACAGGGGUAGGAGUGAAAUCUUGUAAUCCCUGUGGGACCACCUGUGGCGAAGGCGUCUUACCAGAACGGGUUCGACGGUGAGGGACGAAAGCUGGGGGCACGAACCGGAUUAGAUACCCGGGUAGUCCCAGCCGUAAACGAUGCUCGCUAGGUGUCAGGCAUGGCGCGACCGUGUCUGGUGCCGCAGGGAAGCCGUGAAGCGAGCCACCUGGGAAGUACGGCCGCAAGGCUGAAACUUAAA
rnacentral:rRNA from 1 species